rnacentral:lncRNA from 1 species
GCUGCUGUGGGACUGGCUCUCCUGUGAGGCUGGAGCUGCCAUGAGUCUGGCUCUUUUCCAGCUGCAAUGAGAGAAUGGAAGCUCCCCUGAAGGGCACCUUUGUGUCAAGUCCCCAAAGAGGACAACCUCUGCUCCCGAGUGGACAGGAAAGAAAGAUUUCCUCUGUGUGCCCUCGUAUCUGUGUAUUUCCUAUGAGAUUCACUCACCUUGAGCAGUUUUUGCACAAAGCAGCCCUGACAGUCAUUAGCCAAGUGGGUGAGUCAAGGAGUUCUCUCUCCAGGGACAGCCUGAGGGAGGACAGGCUCUCUCUAAAGUGAAGUUCCCUCUUUUUGAGGAUUUUUAAACACCUGAAGGCCUGGUUGACUCCUGCAUAGAGACUGCACAAUAGACACUGCAGCUGAAGCAUUGCUAAUUCAACAGCAGGGAAGAAUCUAAUUGUUUGUUGCUCUGGUGACUGCCAUGAUGACUAUGCAAACACGUUUUCCCCUCCCUCUCUCCAGGUUCUGUGCCCUUUGAUUGUCCCUGAGGACUUUUCUGAUUGAAGUUCAGCUGCUAUUCAUUUGCAUGAGUCAUCUCACUGGAUGACAAGGUGAGAGAACAGGAGUGUGAGAGCACAAUCUGCCAGGAAAACCAGAGGCCUCAGCCCUCUGAGCUGCUCACCAAGCCAGAGCCUUCCAGGGAGAUCUGCUCCAGAUAAGAUUCUGCCCACUAAUUUCCCUCCACAUGUGUCUCAGCCUGCUGCAAGAGGCAUGAGGGCUGGGUGUCCCAGAUUGAUAGGUUUUCCCUGUGAAUUCUGCAAACCUGAGGAACAAAGUGCUCCCCACUUUUACCAGAAGAAAAAAGGAAGCACCAAAUGAGGUGAGCACUCAGCAGACACAGAGUGAGCACAAGGGUGCUGUUCUCAGCCCAGUGUGUGAAUUAUGGAAAUCCUUUUUCCAUGGGAAAUUCUGGAUACUUGUAGUUUGUGUAGGUUCAGGGAGGAGACAAGCAUUUUCACUGGAGAGGUGUCCACCUGUGUUACUAGGUAGUAAGGCAUUGCAUCUCUGGCUCGACACAGCCCUGAAUCAUGAAGAGAUGGAGGAUGGGAUGGGAGCUUAUUUGGAUAUGUAUCAUUGUACCCCUGCAAAACAUUUUAUUUAUCUCUACAUUUUCUUUGAAGGUUGAGAGCAGUGAACAAGCCCAGCACCACAGAAAAAUACUCAGCAUUGUCAGGACUGAGCUCAAAACUGUAAAUGCCUCAAGCCUGGGCUAGUUAGCCAUGGGAAUCUUUUGCUGCAUGAAAUCUGAGUUUUGAGACUUAUGAAUGGACAGAAGAGGUAUUUGCAAAUACCCAGAGCCUUUAUGUGAUAAAUAUUACCUCAAAUUACUUGGCCAGAUUAAAGAAGACAUAGAUAGAUAGCUGAUAUUACCCCUGAAUGUAGCAGGCAGAGCUGGAAUCAUUAAAAUAAAUGUCCUCCCAAGAUUCCA